CGCGUAGGUGGUUUGAUAAGUUGGAUGUGAAAUCCCCGGGCUUAACCUGGGUCGGUCAUUCAAAACUGUCAGACUAGAGUAUGGUAGAGGGUAGUGGAAUUCCUAGUGUAGCGGUGAAAUGCGUAGAUAUUAGGAGGAACACCAGUGGCGAAGGCGACUGCCUGGACUGAUACUGACACUGAGGUGCGAAAGCGUGGGUAGCGAACAGGAUUAGAUACCCUGGUAGUCC
rnacentral:rRNA from 1 species